rnacentral:rRNA from 1 species
GAUGAACGCUGGCGGCGUGCCUAACACAUGCAGGUCGAGCGAAGCGCUUAAAUUAGAUUUCUUCGGAAUGACGAUUUUUGUGACUGAGCGGCGGACGGGUGAGUAACGCGUGGGUAACCUGCCUCAUACAGGGGGAUAACAGUUAGAAAUGACUGCUAAUACCGCAUAAGACCCCAGCUUCGCAUGAAGCGGUGGUAAAAACUCCGGUGGUAUGAGAUGGACCCGCGUCUGAUUAGCUAGUUGGUAAGGUAACGGCUUACCAAGGCGACGAUCAGUAGCCGACCUGAGAGGGUGACCGGCCACAUUGGGACUGAGACACGGCCCAGACUCCUACGGGAAGCAGCAGUGGGGAAUAUUGCACAAUGGGGGAAACCCUGAUGCAGCGACGCCGCGUGAAGGAUGAAGUAUUUCGGUAUGUAAACUUCUAUCAGCAGGGAAGAAAGUGACGGUACCUGACUAAGAAGCCCCGGCUAACUACGUG